GGUCUUCUCCCGAAUCGUCUACCUCUGCAAAAAACAACUUUUCUCAAUUUUUUUCAGCUUUCCUCCUUCUCUCCUUACUCACUAUAUAAGAUGGUGGUUGAUUCACGAAAAAUUUCUCUCACUAAAACCACCAGAUCUCUUCAUCGCCUCCGGAGAAAACGAGUAGUUAGUAACGGCGUUCGGUUUUGGAUCCAUCACUUUACCUCUGUAUACAGUUUACUGUAAAAAUAAAUUACUUCAUAUUUGGUGAGUCACUGAACGCCUUACUCCUGGUACAUACAAAACAUUACUUAACUUUUGUACACUUUUCUUUGAAAAGUGUUCUUGGGAGUUGUCUGUGAUUUCUUUUUCUUUUAUAUUUUUAUCAUAUUGUGAGGGAGAUGGAGGACUUCGAGUUCCAUCACUGGUGGAGCUUACGGUUAAAGUUUGGUUCAUGAUUUCACUUCCUCUGUUUCAGAUCUUUGGUUUCGUAACUGGUGAAAGCUCUUGAUCUGGUGUUUAAUUAGGUUGUUGGAGGUUUAAAAGGAGGAGAUGACGCUUUACAGGAGAAGAUUUGUCAUCUAUUUUUUCAGGUUUUGUAAUUCUUAAUCUCUGUUUUGAUGAUAAAACAAUCCAAAACCGAAUUUGAGCAUUUCAGUUUGUUUGCUUUGUUUCUUUUACAAAAGUUGUGAUCUUUUGUAGAGUUUGUUAUACUUAUAGCUUUAAAGUUUUGGGUCUCUAAUUUAAAAACUAUUGACCUCUAAACUCAUCAGAAUCAUACCGAUUGUUUCUUUUUCCUUCCUCUUACGCUUACAUUUUCUAUUGUUAUGUGUUUCAAGGACCAACGGAAAAUGGGCAAAUUGAUGUUCACUUUCAGGAUCUGCAUAGCGCAAGAACAACGUUCGAGCAGGCCCGGUUUCAUUUGGUCAUCACUUUUUCUUCUUAUGCUAUGAGAAUUUCCAAGAUAUUUCCUUUGCUUCAAUCUGCGAGUCAACACCAUCACAUGUAGCGUAACAUGAGUUAUCCUUGGUAUCGUCCCGUUAUCUAUAUCCUGAAUAGAAACUAAAUGAGGAUCAUGGUGUGUAUUGCCUCUCUCUCUCUCUCAAAUACUUGAAACAUAAAUCUUUAGCUCAUUCAAGUCGAAGGCUUUAUCUAGAGUUCCCUAAAUGAGCUCUUGCUACAAUAUAUGUACAGUUAUAUCGUUUUUGUUAACGGCUUAUGUUCAAACAUCCAUGCGGCAGAUUUUCCUCUUCCAUGUUGUUCUCAUAAGAAAGAUGAAAUCUUCGAUUUCUAUUCGCCUGAAAGCCCAAAACAAACGUUGAUCUCGAAGUUUAUGUGCAGCAGAUGAGAAUCAGCAGGGACUAUCCAUAAAGAUAGAAGGAGAUGGGCGUUCAACUUCUUCCACGCUGAUCAACAAGAAACCAGGUUUCUAUGGAAGCAUAAACCCACGGAAGCUUAUCACUUUAAGCUGAUAUGGAUGAAUGCAGACCUCUGUGUAAGACGACAUAUCAUUUGAUGUGUUGUGUUAUCAGAUCGGGAGUACACUCAUUGCAGUCACUCAACUUCUCUUUGUUGAGCGUUCUAGAAUUGUUUUGGGCCCUAUGCUAACUUUUAUUGGCUGUAGUGGUUGAAGAUUUAGAGGAUGGGGAUCAUACUUCUCAGCCAAAGGACAAAGUUGUGACAUGGAACCUGCCAUUUCGAAGUGAUACCUCAUAUUUGGUCCAGUCUACAACAUAAGCUUACGUGGAAGAUUUCAACAUUCAAAUAUUGAGCUGUGUUAGUGAUUCUGAUUAGAUGUAGAAAAACAUUGUAGAGAAGUAUGGAGUUAGGUACUCGAGGCUGAGAUACUUACAUGAUGCAAAAGAUGUUAUCAUAAGCCAUGGGGCGGAUCUCAUCUCAGGUAUUAUUCCAUGAUCUCCACUAAACGAAAUCUGAUGCGUAACGGAAGGAAUCAGAGGACAACAAGGCCAGUGGUGGAUCUGAUGAGAGAUUUUUCGUAUAGCCAUAUACAGAGCGGGUGGGAUAUGAACCAGUAGCUGUAAUGUUUUGCAUUAUCCUUGCAUUAUCAGUAAAUGACGAUUAGAAGUUACAGCUACUUGCCUUUUUCUUCUACAGUUAAGUUUAUAGUUGUUUUAACGUACAAGAUAAAUUGGAAGAGUAGACGUGGCCGUUGAUAAUUCUGUAGUAGAGUCUUAGGUGUAUCUCUUUAGUUUGAGGGUUAGAUUCAGUAGCAGCUAUGUGCCAUCUUUUGGUUGUAUCUGGUGAAGCUGAAGUUCUUGGUGGGAAUAUGAAAAAGCAGAUAAUGGAUGAGUCUGAGAAUUUGAGUUUGAACUGACUGGUGCCGCCUCAUCCUCCACCGCUUCCAGCAUCUCCAGGAUAUGAAUCAAGAGAGGUUGAGGGAGACAGCAUAACCUAAAAACAGAUCAACAAGUUCCCUCAUCCUCUUUGCUGCUAUUGAGGCUGCAGCUCAGAGGCCUAAUCUCCUUCUUGGUUUUGACAAUUCUUGUGAAGGUUUUAUAUCACUGAGGAGGAAAAUCAACAUUUUCUCGAGUUUUUAUAAUCUUCUGCUAUAGAUUGGAUAGAACCUCUUUAGAUCAAACUAAUUAUGAAGGUCGAUAUCAAUAUCUAUUGGUGUCUAUUGGAGAUUCAAAUUUUUAUGUACGGUUACAAUAAUAUGAGUUUAACUUUCAAGUCUA